ensembl:lncRNA
UGUUAAUACAGUAUUUGUUAAUAAUAAAGAUUAUGCACUACAAAAAAAGUUAAGAAAUGUGCCUAAAGCAACUGAAAAAGAAAGGAGAGGCUACUUUGGAGAAAUUGAAACUCACAAUGCAUGUAAUUUAAAAAAAAACAAACAUUUUUUUUCAGGUGAUACAUUGUGAAACUGAACGACACCACGUGAUUAAAAGGAUGCAUGCAGAAGAAGAAGGAAACUGAAACACAUCACGUCGAGCAAUUUCAGAGACCUUACAGCCAGAGGCUUUACCAGUGUACACGCUGUAGAAAACCAUGGCCCACAGCAAGGGUGAGAGACACUUUAAACUCAUCAUUUCAGCCUAAAAUAACAGUUCUGUGUGUUUUCAUUUCAUGUGAGACACACGGGAGGAAGAAAAAGAGCUUAAAGAAAAAGGCUUGAUCCUGAACUGGAGAUGUCAGGAAGCUGUAAAGAGUUGGAUUAUAUUGUUUUAAUUUGAUGCCAUUGGGCUCAAAUUCAGUCAUAAUUUACCUCUGAACAGAUCUAAGACAUUGCAAGGUCAACCAAAUAAAUUUGAGAGUCUGAGCA